AUAUCAAUAAGCGGAGGAAAAGAAACUAACAAGGAUUCCCCUAGUAACGGCGAGUGAACCGGGAAGAAGCUCAAAUUUGAAAUCUGGCGUGCUCAGUGCGUCCGAGUUGUAAUCUAUAGAGUCGUUUUCCGUGCCGGACUGUGUCCAAGUCCCUUGGAACAGGGUAUCAAAGAGGGUGAUAAUCCCGUACUUGACACAAUGACCGGUGCUCUGUGAUACGUCUUCUACGAGUCGAGUUGUUUGGGAAUGCAGCUCAAAAUGGGUGGUGAGUUCCAUCUAAAGCUAAAUAUUGGCGAGAGACCGAUAGCGAACAAGUACCGUGAGGGAAAGAUGAAAAGCACUUUGGAAAGAGAGUUAAACAGUACGUGAAAUUGUUAAAAGGGAAACGAUUGAAGUCAGUCGUGACUGAGAGGCUCAGCCGGUUCUGCCGGUGUAUUCCCCUCAGUCGGGUCAACAUCAGUUUUGUUCGGUGGAUAAGGGCAGUUGGAAGGUGGCACCCUCGGGUGUGUUAUAGCCAGCUGUCGCAUACAUCGGAUGAGACUGAGGAAUGCAGCUCGCCUUUAUGGCCGGGGUUCGCCCACGUUCGAGCUUAGGAUGUUGACAUAAUGGCUUUAAACGACCCGUCUUGAAACACGGACC
rnacentral:rRNA from 1 species